CUCCUGAGCUGCUCCAACCACAUGGCUAGGGCCACUGGGACACCCUUGUGGGGCUUGCUGGUGUGCAGUAGCUACAACUUGAAGGUGAAAGGCUUUGGGAACCUGCUUGCUCAGCUAAAUAAAAAUGUUUAAUCACCGUGGAAAGAAGCAGAUGUAGACUUCGGAGUGUUCAAGCCCUCAGUGGAUUAUAUUAAUUAUUACGAACCGGCGCAGACUUUAGCGGUGCCGUCCCGGGGCGUGUCCCUGGGGUACCCCUGUGAGGACCACCUGGACCCCCAGGCGAGCACGGCUUCUGCCUCGCUCACCGCAGGUCCCGCGGCCGGGAAAUGCUGAGGGGGGCUGCCCCGACACCCCCGGCUGCCCCAGCUCCGCCGCGUCUCACCCACCGCUACCAGAAGGUGCCGCCGUCCGCCUGCGAAUCGUUCCCAGCCCAAUUAGGUGGCAGGCAGGAGCAAGAUGAGCUUUGCUGGACAAGCAGAGGGGACCAGGAGAUGGUGGAUGUCCUGUCCCUAACCCAGAAUCUUGCUGUCUCCCCGGCCUGGGGGUCCAGGGCAGUGCUAGCG